GAUGAACGCUGGCGGCGUGCUUAACACAUGCAAGUCGAACGGAGAUGUCAUUUUUGAAGCGAUUAGCUUGCUAAGAGUGGAAAUGCUGGCAUCUUAGUGGCGGACGGGUGAGUAACGCGUGGGUAACCUGCCUUGCACUGGGGGAUAACACUUAGAAAUAGGUGCUAAUACCGCAUAAGCGCACAUUCCCGCAUGGGAGAGUGUGAAAAACUCCGGUGGUGCAAGAUGGACCCGCGUCUGAUUAGCUGGUUGGCGGGGUAACGGCCCACCAAGGCAACGAUCAGUAGCCGGCCUGAGAGGGUGGACGGCCACAUUGGGACUGAGACACGGCCCAA
rnacentral:rRNA from 1 species